GUUGAACGCUGGCGGCGUGCUUAACACAUGCAAGUCGAACGGAAAGGCUCCUCUUUGCAGGGGUACUCGAGUCGCGAACGGGUGAGUUACCCGUGGAUGAUCCUCCCUGUACUUCGGGACAACCCGGGGCAGCCGGUACUAAUACCGGAUAGCACCACAUUAUGGUGGGUGUGGUUGAAAGUUAGUCGGUUUGGGAUGGGCUCGCGGCCUAUCAGCUUGUUGGUGGGGUAAUGGCUUACCAAGGCGUCGGCGGGUAGCCGGCCUGAGAGGGUGUACGGCCACAUUGGGACUGAGAUACGGCGCAGACUCCUACGGGAGGCAGCAGUGGGGAGUAUUGCACAAUGGGCGCAAGCCUGAUGCAGCGACGCCGCGUGGGGGAUGACGGCCUUCGGGUUGUAAACGCCAUUAGCUAGGUACGAAGCGCAAGUGACGGUACCUGGAGAAGAAGCACCGGCUAACUACGUG
rnacentral:rRNA from 1 species